rnacentral:rRNA from 1 species
UACGUAGGGUGCAAGCGUUGUCCGGGAAUUAUUGGGCGUAAAGAGCUCGUAGGCGGUCUGUCGCGUCGGAUGUGAAAGCCCGGGGCUUAACCCCGGGUCUGCAUUCGAUACGGGCAGACUAGAGUGUGGUAGGGGAGAUCGGAAUUCCUGGUGUAGCGGUGAAAUGCGCAGAUAUCAGGAGGAACACCGGUGGCGAAGGCGGAUCUCUGGGCCAUUACUGACGCUGAGGAGCGAAAGCGUGGGGAGCGAACAGG